GCCAAAGUGGAUACGAGAAAUCAAAGUAUUGUACAAGGGCUGCAAAAGAUUGUUUUCGAAACGGACAGACCGUGUAUAUUCGAUUCAAUCCUGCCUUUAGCACAAUACCAAAGGUAACGAUUGGUCUAACCCUAAUCGACACACACAAAGAUCAAAAUGUCCGCGUCCGUGCUUCGGUAACCUCUGUAACCAGAAAUGGAUUCUAUCUCAAAUUCCAGCCUUGGGAUAAAUCUAUUACUUAUCAAAUUGGCGUCAACUGGAUGGCAUGUCAAUGAACAUGAAUGGCACAUAAAUGAUGAAUACUAAAGCGUACUUACACUAUUGGCUAGCACAUAGCUUUCUACUAAUUGCUCGUACUUUUGUAUUAUAAUUGCGCGUGUUUUCAGUUGUAGUUUGAAACCUUGAUCACGAA